rnacentral:rRNA from 1 species
UACGAAGGGUGCAAGCGUUACUCGGAAUUACUGGGCGUAAAGCGUGCGUAGGCGGUUUGUUAAGUCCGUCGUGAAAGCCCCGGGCUCAACCUGGGAAUGGCGAUGGAAACUGGCGAGCUAGAGUACGGUAGAGGAGAGUGGAAUUCCCGGUGUAGCAGUGAAAUGCGUAGAGAUCGGGAGGAACAUCAGUUGCGAAGGCGGCUCUCUGGACCAGUACUGACACUGAGGAGCGAAAGCCAGGGGAGCAAACGGG